AAGUUCUUGAUCUGAGCUGGAAUCAUCUGCGAAUGAAAGCAGCUGUAGCUUUCUGUGCUGGACUGAAGAUCAACACGACUUUGAAACACUUAGACCUCUCGUUUAAUGGCUUUGGAAACGAGGGCGGGGACUGGAGGCCAACGACACGCUCAGAGUGCUACAGCUUUAUUUAGUCUGGAGGUGCAUUAUGGAGGCGUUGGUGGCUUUAUCGCCAAAAAGCCUCGCAAACGCGUCGAC